rnacentral:rRNA from 1 species
AAGACCUUACGCUUUUGGAGCGGCCGAUGUCUGAUUAGCUUGUUGGUGAGGUAAAGGCUUACCAAGGCUUCGAUCAGUAGCUGGUCUGAGAGGACGACCAGCCACACUGGGACUGAGACACGGCCCAGACUCCUACGGGAGGCAGCAGUGGGGAAUUUUGGACAAUGGGGGCAACCCUGAUCCAGCCAUGCCGCGUGAGUGAAGAAGGCCUUCGGGUUGUAAAGCUCUUUCAGCCGGAACGAAACGGUUACGGUUAAUACCCGUGACUACUGACGGUACCGGAAGAAGAAGCACCGGCUAACUACGUGCCAGCAGCCGCGGUAAUACGUAGGGUGCAAGCGUUAAUCGGAAUUACUGGGCGCAAAGCGUGCGCAGGUGGUUUUGUAAGUCAGAUGUGAAAUCCCCGGGCUUAACCUGGGAACU